rnacentral:rRNA from 1 species
ACGGAGGGGGCUAGCGUUGUUCGGAAUUACUGGGCGUAAAGCGCGCGUAGGCGGUUUAACAAGUUGAAGGUGAAAGCCCGGAGCUCAACUCCGGAACUGCCCUCAAAACUGUUAGACUAGAGGCAAGGAGAGGAGAGCGGAAUACCCAGUGUAGAGGUGAAAUUCGUAGAUAUUGGGUGGAACACCGGUGGCGAAGGCGGCUCUCUGGCCUUGAUCUGACGCUAAGGCGCGAAAGCGUGGGGAGCAAACAGG